rnacentral:rRNA from 1 species
CCUACGGGGGGCAGCAGUGGGGGAUAUUGGACAAUGGGGGGAACCCUGAUCCAGCGACGCCGCGUGAGUGAAGAAGUAUUUCGGUAUGUAAAGCCCUGUCAGCAGGGAAGAAAGAAAUGACGGUACCUGACCAAGAAGCCCCGGCUAACUACGGGCCAGCAGCCGCGGGAAUACGUAGGGGGCAAGCGUUAUCCGGAAUUACUGGGUGUAAAGGGAGCGUAGACGGUUAAGUAAGGCUGGAGUGAAAGGCCGGGGCCCAACCCCGGGACUGCUGUGGAAACUAUUGAACUUGAGUGCAGGAGAGGUAAGCGGAAUUCCUGGUGUAGCGGUGAAAUGCGUAGAUAUUAGGAAGAACACCAGUGGCGAAGGCGGCUUACUGGACUGUAACUGACGUUGAGGCUCGAAAGCGUGGGGAGCGAACAGGAUUAGAUACCCUGGUAGUC